GCGCUGAUCGGUAACCAGCGCCUGACCAAUAAGGAG
rfam:Collinsella sp. CAG:166 genomic scaffold, scf251